rnacentral:hammerhead_ribozyme from 1 species
AUCCGACUGAUGAGUCCCAAAUAGGACGAGACUCGCGUCAAAUUGAAU